GAAGGGGAGCAAGGUUAGCAAAGGUGAAGUGCACCUGGCAGCAACUUGGAAGGAUGAAAACAAAGAUGGUCUGGAAUAUGCCGCGGUAAAAUUGCCGACCUUGUUGAAAGAAGACCCGAAAGACAUGUGGACUUUCAAGGAUGAUGAGACCCCAAACCCAAACUCUGUGUUCAUCAAAAUGAACAACAAAGAAGUCUCUGAAUCAACUUGCUUUGAAGUUGUAGCCGAGGAGAUGUCAAUCUGCAAUACAGACCAAAUUCAUACUGCACUUAGCUGCUACAUAGCAACAUUCUACGUCUUCAAUCUGGCCUAUAUACCACGACUUCAAAAGACGAUCUCUUUCAUCCAGAAUUUCCUCCUUGGCAUUAAAGAUGGAACCAGCUUGGAGAAACCAGUGCUUACCCUCGCAUCUAGAUUGGCCAAAAAGUCACAGCAUUAAACACAU